rnacentral:rRNA from 1 species
GAUGAACGCUGGCGGCGUGCCUAAGACAUGCAAGUCGAGUGGGUUUAGACCCACGGCGAACGGGUGAGUAAUACCUAGGAACGUCCUUCUAGUUGAGCAUAGACAGCCGAAAGGCUGUGCAAUUCUCGAUGUGAUCGCAAGAUUAAAGUACGCAAGACGCUAGAGGUGCGGCCUGGGUGCCAUCAGCUAGUUGGUAGGGUAAUGGCCUACCAAGGCAA